rnacentral:rRNA from 1 species
UACGUAGGGUGCAAGCGUUAUCCGGAAUGAUUGGGCGUAAAGCGUCUGUAGGUGGCUUUUUAAGUCCGCCGUCAAAUCCCAGGGCUCAACUCUGGACAGGCGGUGGAAACUACCAAGCUGGAGUACGGUAGGGGCAGAGGGAAUUUCCGGUGGAGCGGUGAAAUGCGCAGAUAUCGGGAGGAACACCGGUGGCGAAGGCGGUUCUCUGGGCCUUACCUGACACUGAGGAGCGAAAGCGUGGGGAGCGAACAGG